rnacentral:rRNA from 1 species
GAGUUUGAUCCUGGCUCAGGAUAAACACUGGCGGCGUGCCUAACACAUGCAAGUCGAACGUCCUUUUCUUGCUUCGGUAAGGAGAGGGAGUGGCGGACGGGUGAGUAAGACAUGGGUGACCUGCCCUAAAGUGAGGGAUACCGGCGAGAAAUUGCCGACAAGCCCGCAUGCGUUCUGUUUGGUAGAGCGGACAGAGCAAAGGUUUCCGUAAGGGAGCUGCUUUGGGAUGGGCCUGUGGCCGAUUAGCUGGUUGGUGGGGUAAGAGCCUACCAAGGCGACGAUCGGUAGCUGGUCUGAGAGGACGAUCAGCCACACUGGGAUUGAGAACGGCCCAGACUCCUACGGGGGGCAGCAGUGAGGAAUUUUCCGCAAUGGACGCAAGUCUGACGGAGCAACGCCGCGUGCAGGAGGACGCUUUUCGGAGUGUAAACUGCUUUUCUGUGGGACGAGCAAGGACGGUACCACAGGAAGAAGCCCCGGCUAACUACGUGCCAGCAGCCGCGGUAAUACGUAGGGGGCGAGCGUUGUCCGGAGUUACUGGGCGUAAAGGGCAUGCAGGCGGUCGUACGCGUUUUGUGUGACAGCGGGUGGCUUAACUACCCGAGUAUGCGAAAGACGGUAUGACUUGAGGGCUCGAGAGGGACACGGAAUUCCGGGUGGAGUGGUGAAAUGCGUAGAGAUCCGGAGGAACACCGAAGGCGAAGGCAGUGUCCUGGCGAGUGACUGACGCUGAGGUGCGAAAGCUAGGGGAG